rnacentral:rRNA from 1 species
UACGAAGGGGGCUAGCGUUGCUCGGAAUCACUGGGCGUAAAGGGUGCGUAGGCAGGUCUUUAAGUCAGGGGUGAAAUCCUGGAGCUCAACUCCAGAACUGCCUUUGAUACUGAGAAGCUUGAGUCCGGGAGAGGUGAGUGGAACUGCGAGUGUAGAGGUGAAAUUCGUAGAUAUUCGCAAGAACACCAGUGGCGAAGGCGGCUCACUGGCCCGGUACUGACGCUGAGGUGCGAAAGCGUGGGGAGCAAACAGG